CGAUAACAAACCAGUACAGCGCGGGUUAUGUCCAACUUUGUGCUUUUAUUGACUUAAUUUCCAACAGUUUGUAUUAAUUGCUGAGCCAGUGACCUCGCUGGCUGGAAGAGGACUCCUACAGGAUCAUCUGUCAAUCAGAAACUGCACAUGACGCACAGAGGAAUGAGAUAUUCAUGCCCGAUCAACGAAAUUGAUGCAUCACUGCCCUGCUAACCAAAUGUGAGGUUAUUCGAAGCUGCAGCAGCAGGCAAAAUCUUGUCUGAACUGAAAAUGUCUGAUACCAUAGUCGCCCUGUCCAACCACCAAGUUAAG
ensembl:lncRNA